UGUCUUUUUCUUAAUUAAGGAGGAUAUUUGUAAAAGAAGAAUAACAAAUUCAAGGAGACAAUCAAUAAAAUGGAUUGGUAAAUUAAACUAAUAUACGUUUGGUAAAUUAAACUUAAUUAAUUAAGGGUAUCUUCUUUUAUUCCACCAACUUCCUCCUCCCAACACUGUCCAAGAAAAAAAUAUAUGAUAGCCACAGAAAAAAGUUUCUGCUAGUUAAUGGAGGACUAAUAUAAUAAUACUACAUUUAAAUUUUUUCAGGAACACAUGUAUCCAAUUUAUACUUAGAAUCCAGAGUCCAGACAACAUAUAAAAUUAUAGCUAGCUGCACCAUUUCUCUAAACAAAUAUAAGUAAAAAAUUAGCAAAAUAUAUGACAGCAAAAAUAGUUAUUAGUACUUUAUAGUAUAGUUAAAAGCUUGUCAUACUUAAGCAGAAAAUUUUUGCAAGUAAUAUAUAAGGGAGACAAAUAACAAAGUAAAAUAUGCACUUCCUCGGGAAUGAAAAAAAUUGAUCUACUUUAAUUUGGUAUUUUGUCUUAAAUUCUUUAACUCCUUGAUACUCAAUUUUUGUGAAGCCUAGAAAAAUAAUAAACUUAAAACUAGAAGAACCAUGCCCAAUAAAAACAAAGAAAUGCAGACAUGCAUGCAAAGUUAUGCCUUUCAGCAAUUUUAUCCAAAUUCUUAAGAAAUGUGAGUUUAAUUAAUUUAAUUACUAAAUGAACUUAACUGCUUUAAUCAGAUCUUCGCAUGGAAAAAUCAAAAUUCCACUCCAACAAUUUUCAAUCUCAAAUCAAAACCAUUAAAAUAAGAUCAAGGUGACCAACACAAAAGAAGAAUAGAGAAAAAAAAAAAGGAACAACAACCUUGGCUUUUGCAAAUUGAUCCAAAUUAAUUAUUUUUAUAUAUACGAGGAAUAAGCUGCAAAACAUAUUAUCAAAUUAUUUACAUGUAGCAUGUUAACCAUUGAUUUUUUGUUUUACUUAUAUGUGUGUGUGUGAUAUCAAUAUCUUAAUUUUUCAAGAAACCAUAAAAUUUCUCCCAAAAGUUUGAUCAACCUUCCAUAUUCAGUCAUACAUAUGCAUAUUCAAUUUUGACGACUCAUUUAAUAAUUUAUAAAUCUAUAAAUUGGUCCAGGCCAGAAAUAUGUAUUUAGUGUGACAAAAAUUAGAUUUCAUCUUCUUAAACAAAGCUUCAUAUUUAAAUUUGAUGGACAAACAAAUAUAAUUAAAAGAAGAUAAAAAAAGCUAAAAGAUAUUUCACACAAAUAUCAUAUAAUUAUAACCUAUAAAACAAAACUGAUUCUCAGACCCAUGUGAUGUUACCAUUUUGGACCGAUCCAUGUUAGACGCCCCUUCAAUUAUUACGUAACGCAUUCAUGUUACACGCUCCCUGCAAUUAUCAGGUAACGCCAUUAAACGCACGGUCCCCUUAUGAACUUCACCAAGCAAAACUAUUACACAGUGUAUGGUAGCAACUACAAUUCUAAUCCUAAGCAGAAAUUAUGAAGGAAAAGCUAUAAUGGAAAUUUCUCAUGUAUUCAUUUCAAUUCUGGAUACAUAUUUAUAAGCAGCACAAGCUAAACGGUGUCUGUGUCCCACUGUGAGUGCACUGAGUUGUAACAUAAUUGAGCAAAUUGUUAUAACAGAUUUGGUUAAGGAAAUCUAGAAAUAUUCUUAUCCUUAUCCUUAUCCUAGUGCUGUCCCCUCAUACGUAAUCACAAAAGAUGAUUGGGCCUUUUGAUAUUCCUGCUUGGUCUAGUAUCAGCCCUCUUUGUAUUGCUAUCAGUGUAUGAAAUCGUUCGUGUAUGAGCAGAUGGGGAAGAGAAUGAUAGCACAACACCUAGAGGAGCAAUGCAAUAUACCCGCAGUGGCAGA
rnacentral:lncRNA from 1 species